rnacentral:rRNA from 1 species
GAUGAACGCUGGCGGCGUGCCUAAUACAUGCAAGUCGAACGCACAGCGAAAGGUGCUUGCACCUUUCAAGUGAGUGGCGAACGGGUGAGUAACACGUGGACAACCUGCCUCAAGGCUGGGGAUAACAUUUGGAAACAGAUGCUAAUACCGAAUAAAACUCAGUGUCGCAUGACACAAAGUUAAAAGGCGCUUUGGCGUCACCUAGAGAUGGAUCCGCGGUGCAUUAGUUAGUUGGUGGGGUGAAGGCCUACCAAGACAAUGAUGCAUAGCCGAGUUGAGAGACUGAUCGGCCACAUUGGGACUGAGACACGGCCCAAGCGCCUACGGGAGGCUGCAGUAGGGAAUCUUCCACAAUGGGCGAAAGCCUGAUGGAGCAACGCCGCGUGUGUGAUGAAGGCUUUCGGGUCGUAAAGCACUGUUGUAUGGGAAGAACAGCUAGAAUAGGGAAUGAUUUUAGUUUGACGGUACCAUACCAGAAAGGGACGGCUAAAUACGUGCCAGCAGCCGCGGUAA